rnacentral:rRNA from 1 species
GACGAACGCUGGCGGCGUGCUUAACACAUGCAAGUCGAACGAAGAGCGAUGGACGCUUGCUUCUAUCAAUCUUAGUGGCGAACGGGUGAGUAACGCGUAAUCAACCUGCCCUUCAGAGGGGGACAACAGUUGGAAACGACUGCUAAUACCGCAUACGAUCUAAUCUCGGCAUCGAGGAUAGAUGAAAGGUGGCCCCUACAUGUAAGCUAUCACUGAAGGAGGGGAUUGCGUCUGAUUAGCUAGUUGGAGGGGUAACGGCCCACCAAGGCGAUGAUCAGUAGCCGGUCUGAGAGGAUGAACGGCCACAUUGGGACUGAGACACGGCCCAGACUCCUACGGGAGGCAGCAGUGGGGAAUCUUCCGCAAUGGACGAAAGUCUGACGGAGCAACGCCGCGUGAGUGAUGACGGCCUUCGGGUUGUAAAGCUCUGUUAAUCGGGACGAAAGGCCUUCUUGCGAAUAGUGAGAAGGAUUGACGGUACCGGAAUAGAAAGCCACGGCUAACUACGUG